AGAUCCUAAGGUUAACAUCAGAGGAGCUCUACUUUACAAAGCAAGAAAACGAAAUUCUCAAGAAAGAAUUGGAAGAGCUUCGCAAGAGCCAGGACGUUGUAGAGGAAACCAAAGAUAUCCAAACAAAAACUGAAAGAAACAUUAUUGUCAGGGGAUGYCRCCGGGUSAACAAGCGCUGCUUGGAACUUCGUGACACAGUGAAGUUUGUCUUCAGCACCUGGAAAUCAAACUUUUAAACAUGUCUAAACGAUUACUACUGAUUCGAAAUUUAUAAAUUAAUUAUUGUCGUCAUUUUGUAUAUAUUUGUUAAAUAGCACAAAACAUUUCGAGAUAUUAAUUUUAUUCUAUGGAUUAGCUUAUGAAUUCAAUACUUUUGAUCAAGGUUGUGACUAUUAUAGAAAACAUACAUACCACGUGACGCCGAUAGAUGUCAGUAACGUUGCACUAAGAGAAUGAAGGCUGCCUUCACGUGACUAUUAGUUUAGUGAGUGUCGUCCCUCGAAGUCACGUGACAUCGAUGUAACUGUCAAGUCACGUGGUUUAAGGUGUAGAUAGUCGAACCGCACGAUAGGUACACUCCUUGUAAAUAUAGAAACUUGUACAUUGAUGAAGAAUGAAU